UAGAAUGCUGAUACACAUUUAUUUUUAUUGCUAAACAUUGAAUGCCAGCAACUAUGGUAUCUUCAAGUUAAACUCAGUUGUAAGAUUUAUAGAAAAAAAUACCUGGGUACCACUAGUAUGUGGACAUUCAAUAAAUACCACAGGACAAACUGAUGACUAAGAGCCACAUACCCAUGAAGCCCCUAUUUAAACAAUUUACCAUUAGAACAGAUGACCUGUAAGAGCAAUUAUCAAAAGGUCAAGUUUCACUGCAUGUCUUUUCAAACAGAGAUGCUGAAAAGGAUAUAUACAUUCUUUACAGGUUUUAAGUGAUUAAAAACAACCCUCAAAAAUGUAGACAAUGCAGAGUAGAACACUGAAAAUACAGUUUUACUGUUGAACAAGUGACAACACAACACUUUCUUCAAAUCCUUAAAAUAAUUCAUUUUUUAAAUGGCUCUAUAGAAACCAAAAUGAACUAUAUUCAUAAAGAUGAUAAUCUACCAGGGACACAAAGAUCUUUCAAGCUAUUUUUUUAUGUUAACAUACAUUUACAUGAAUAUUCAAUAACACUUUUUACAGCUUACUUAAAUAGAAACAUGCUUUUCUAAUCCAUA
rnacentral:lncRNA from 1 species